rnacentral:rRNA from 1 species
GACGAACCGUCCAAACGUUGUUCGGAAUCACUGGGCUUAAAGGGCGCGUUAGGCGGACUGCCAAGUCCGGGGUGAAAUCUUUCGGCUUAACCGGAAAAGGGCCUUGGAAACUGGCGGUCUCGAGGGAGGUAGGGGCCUGUGGAACUUCGGGUGGAGCGGUGAAAUGCGUUGAUAUCCGAAGGAACGCCGGUGGCGAAAGCGACGGGCUGGAUCUCUUCUGACGCUGAGGCGCGAAAGCCAGGGGAGCAAACGGG